rnacentral:rRNA from 1 species
UACGUAGGGGGCAAGCGUUGUCCGGAUUUAUUGGGCGUAAAGCGCUCGCAGGUGGUCCGUCGCGUCGUGCGUGAAAGACCCCAGCUCAACUGGGGAGGGUCGUGCGAUACGGGCGGACUGGAGGCCAGUAGGGGGAUGCGGAAUUCCGGGUGUAGUGGUGGAAUGCGUAGAGAUCCGGAGGAACACCAGCGGCGAAGGCGGCUUCCUGGACCGAUUACUGACGCUGAGGCGCGAAAGCUAGGGGAGCAAACGGG